GUCAGGCUAGCUCAGUUGGAUAGAGCAACGGUCUUCUAAACCGUAGGUCAUGAGUUCGAAUCUCAUGCUUGACA
rnacentral:tRNA from 2 species